rnacentral:lncRNA from 1 species
GUUUUGAAUAACUCGGUUAAAUUUGAUAUUUUUGGUAAGUAGCACGCCGGUCUCGAGAGAGGAAGAAACUAGUGUUACAACAUCAUUCCAUGCAAUCUUAUAUUUAGAACUUUUUUAACUCUCUUCCUCACUAUAGGAAAGCUGCAUAUAUACUUUCAAUUUCCUUCAACCAUUGACUCGGAAGCCAAAAUGCUGAGUACCAAAAAUUCACCAUACUGAUGAUGCUGAUUUGAGGAGUUGUAA